rnacentral:rRNA from 1 species
GUCCUUUAGAUAUUAAUUUAAGGUCUAACCUGCCCACUGAAUUAUUUUAAAUGGCCGCAGUAAUUUGACUGUGCAAAGGUAGCAUAAUCAUUAGUUUUUUAAUUGAAAGCUUGUAUGAAAGGUUGGACGAAGUAAAAUCUGUCUCUAAUUAAAUUAAUUUAGAAUUUAACUUUUAAGUUAAAAGGCUUAAAUUCAACUAAAAGACGAGAAGACCCUAUAGAUCUUUAUAUUUAAAUUAAUAAAUUUAAUUAAGAAUUUUUAAAAUUUUAUUAAUUUAAUUAUUUUAUUGGGGUAAUAUAAAGAUUAAAAUAAUUCUUUUUUUUUAUUAACAUUAAUUUAUGAUUUUAAUGAUCCAAUUAUAUUGAUUUUAAGAUUAAGUUACCUUAGGGAUAACAGCGUAAUUUUUUUAGAGAGUUCUUAUCGAUAAGAAAGUUUGCGACCUCGAUGUUGGAUUAAAGAUUAUUUUAGGUGUAGAAGCUUAAAAAUUUUGGUCUGUUCGACCAUUAAAUCUUUACAUGAUCUGAGUUCAGACCGGUGUAAGCCAGGUCGGUUUCUAUCUUUAGUAAAUUAAAAUAUUUUAGUACGAAAGGACCAAUUAUUUAAUAUAAAUAUUUAAAUUUUGAUUAUUAUUAA